UCUGGACAGGUUUUGAUAAAUCUCCCUAAGGGUCUAUUCACAUGUACAGUAUUCUGCGCUGAUUUGAUGCACAGGAUUUCAAGCUGUGUCCAGUUUACAUUGAAAUCUGCACAGAAUACUGUACGUGUGAAUAGACCAUAAAUGUGUUUUGGACAAAAAGCUGUGGCCUUAGCAAAAGAGCAUCCACAAAAAAAUGAAUUAGGCAUCAACACCCCUAAGGAUAUAUUUUAGCUUGAGAAAAAUAAUGUCCCAGCAGCAUGAGGAGACCACAUGGCUGCGCAAUGACACAGCCUGGAGGUGGCACCAGCAUGAGGAGACCAAAAUGUGGCAGAAUGACCAAGCCUGUAGGUGGCAGCAGCAAGAGGAGACCAUAUGGUGACAAAAUGACACAGCUUGAAGGUGGCGGCAGCCUUACCAGACCAA